rnacentral:rRNA from 1 species
AAUCUGCCCUUGACUCUGGGAUAAGCGUUGGAAACGACGUCUAAUACCGGAUACGACCUUUGGAGGCAUCUCUGGGGGUGGAAAGAAUUUUGGUCAAGGAUGAGCUCGCGGCCUAUCAGCUAGUUGGUGAGGUAAUGGCUCACCAAGGCGACGACGGGUAGCCGGCCUGAGAGGGUGACCGGCCACACUGGGACUGAGACACGGCCCAGACUCCUACGGGAGGCAGCAGUGGGGAAUAUUGCACAAUGGGCGAAAGCCUGAUGCAGCAACGCCGCGUGAGG